AGGAGAGCUUGCCCGCCAGACACGUCCCCUCACUGGGCGGGUCAUGUCAGGCUUCCCCAACGACUCUGGCCCUUUGGCAAAAAGAAUCAAAAGGCCACGGAUGAACUAGGAAGGAGGCAGGAAGACACGCACUCCUCCCCGACCCUGGAGUCCCCGGUCCUGGGAAGGCCUCCGGUACCUCCCAGAACACUGCCCGCGGUACUCCACUGGACUGCGGUUCUGGACACGGAGCCCACGGAGGCCAAGUCCGAGGCUUCUCCAGCCAAGGAGCUAGACCCACUCCCAACUUCAGCAGCUCCGGAGGGGCACAUGGUGUCUGGAGUCACUUUGGCGGGAGACCGGGAGC